UUGUCCAAACAGUGAAGAGUAACUCCAGCACUCUUUGGUUAUAGGAGACAGAGUCAACUAAUGAGAGCCACGGCAAUGUUUGACUGGUAAAGAUCACGUUUGUAGUAGAGGUGGGCAAAAGGAGAAAGGGACCAUCUGCCUCCUGUGUUUCACCUUGCCCCAGACUCUCCCCACUGCCCAGACAUCCUGCAGCAGUUUGCAAGCAUGGCUUGCAAGGACUAGACAGGUGCUGCCAGAGACAAAUGCCAUGACGGACCCUUGGGAAGGAAAGCGCAAUGCUGCUGUCAAACCAACACACACAAGGCCAGGAAGCGAAGGAAGGAGAGAAAGGCUCCGUGCAUGCUGCUGAUGACCCAGCCUCCAAACAGCCUCACCACAGCAGCACAGUGGGGACCAGCUGUACAAAACAUCAGGUCCAAGAAAAAAACCAAACCAAGUGACCUUACGUGGAACUCUUCUGAACGCUUCAGCACCCCUGCUACAGCAUGCACAUCUACCUUCACAGUAAAGCUGAAGUUUUUUAAUACUUUA